rnacentral:rRNA from 1 species
CCUACGGGAGGCAGCAGUGGGGAAUUUUCCGCAAUGGGCGAAAGCCUGACGGAGCAACGCCGCGUGGGUGAUGAAGUCUUUCGGGACGUAAAACCCUUUCAGCAGAGACGAACAAAAUGACGGUACCUGCAGAAGAAGCAUCGGCUAACUACGUGCCAGCAGCCGCGGUAAUACGUAGGAUGCGAGCGUUGUCCGGAUUUAUUGGGCGUAAAGCGAACGUAGGCGGUUUCUUAAGUUUGGUCUUAAAGACCGGGGCUCAACCCCGGGAGUGGACUGAAUACUGGGAAACUAGAGGAUGUUAGAGGAAAGUGGAAUUCCAAGUGUAGCGGUGAAAUGCGUAGAUAUUUGGAGGAACACCAGUGGCGAAAGCGGCUUUCUGGGACAUUUCUGACGCUGAGGUUCGAAAGCUCGGGGAGCAAACAGGAUUAGAUACCCUGGUAGUCCGAGCCGUAAACGAUGGACACUAGGUGUCGGGGGUAUCGACCCCCCCGGUGCCGUAGCUAACGCGUUAAGUGUCCCGCCUGGGGAGUACGGUCGCAAGACUGAAACUCAAAUGAAUUGACGG